AAAGUGUUAGGUGAAAUGCCCUCUCUAAGAGCUCCAAGAAUCGCCCAAACAGUGAAAUAAAUAAGCUCAAAAUGCCUAAGUCUCGUAUCAAAUGAGGUUCCGCCUUCUGCAAUUUUUGCACCUGCGAAGGUUUGGCCGCAUCUACGGUCUUGCACCUGCAGAAAAAUGAUUGAAGGUUCCCAUUUUCGCUACCUGACCAAAUUCCGCAUUUGCGGACUCAAGGGACCGCACCAGCCUGCACCUGCGACCAUGAAUUUCGCACCUGCGGCCUUGUAGGUGCGCCAAAAUAGGCUGCCCUCACUCUUUCGCUUCUGUGGCUCGUGGCUCGCACCUGCGGAUGGCCAAGUCAAUGUGCGAUUAUGACAGAUACCUGAUGCUUCAGUUGUUGCUUCCCAAGUCCAAACUUGGUCCGAGCCUCGUUCGAUUAACACUCGGGCCCCCCAGGGCCUGCCUGAAUAUACCAUCAAUUUUGAAAUCAUAAAAUAGAUUCGUUUGAAUUCUCGGAACUCCCAAAACAACACUAAAACUAAGAAUCACGACCCCAAAAUCAAUUGAAUCAAACUUAUGAACUUCAAGUUCUUCAAUUUACCUCUAAUGCGCUGAAACAUCCUUACACUACUCGAAAUGACACCAAAUUUUGCUUGCAAGUCUUAAAUGAAAUUAUGGAACUAUUUGCGGUCUCGAAAUUCCAUUUGGACCUCGUUAUCACCAAAACUUUACAAACCAAAUUUAAAGAACUUCUAAAAUCUUCAAAGAACCAACUUUCACUGUUAAGCGUCAAAACGCUCCCGGAUCAUCCAAAACCCAAUCCAAACAUACGAUCAUGUCCGAAAUCAUCAUACGAACCUAUUGGGCCCGUCAAAUCUCAAUUUUAAGUUCAUUUACUCAAAAUUUUGACCGAAGUCAAACUUAGCCUUUUAAGUCAACUUAAGGAACCAAGUGUUCCGAUUUCAACCCGAACUCUUCCAAAUCCCAAACUAACCGUCUCCACAAGCCAUAAAUUAGUAAAGUAUGUACGGAAAGUCUUAUUUAGGGGAACGAGGUUCUAGAAAGCAAAAUGACCGGUCGGAUCGUUACAUUAAUCCUGAACAAAAAUAGUCACUACUCUAUUAAAAUUAAUACAAAAAGAUGGUUUUACCUUUUCUUCAUGAGUGUUGUGUAAAUAUUAAGAACAUGGAGUCCUUAAUAUUUAUACAGCACUCAUGAAGUUAAGGAUAUGAUGUCCUAAAGUUUAACAACAGAAGGUGCAAAUGUAGGGCACUUUGUCCUUAAUAUUUACACAACACUUAUUGUCACACCUCCUUUUUACACCCCGAGAGGGUAUAUAAGGGAGUUUUUCCAAUUAAUGUGACAUUAUUUGAAAUAAGAUUAUUUAUUUAAUUCAUAGAGUUACCACUUGGAAUAUUUUAAUUAGUGCCCCAAGUCACCGGUUUAUUUUUAAAUCCCAAAUCGAGGAAAUUUUGACUUUCCUUUUGAAGUCUGCGAACCAGAAAUUCUAGCUAAGGAAUUUUGUUAACCCGGGAGAAGGUGUUAGACAUUCCCGUGUUCCGUGGUUCUAGCAUGGUCGCUUAGCAAUUUAUACUUGGCUUAAUUGUUUAACUACUCAUUUUUAAAACCUAUGUGCAAUUAUCUUUUUACCACUUUUAUUUGAAACGAAUCACAUGUACAUGUACUCAUUUUGUUUGGCGCGUCAAAAAUCAUGUCACGCGAACGUGUUCAUAAUUAAUAACGCUUUAUUAUUAUUACUAACGAAGUUUAACCGAAGUUGCGCGUACGCAUACCUCGAUUUAUUUUGAAAAAUCAUAACUAUGUUACGCGAACAUGUACACAAUCACAAUAGAUGAUUAGGAGCUUGAGGAAACGAAUAGAGUUAUUCCAACAAAGUCACAAUAAAGUUAACGUAAAAACAAAGACUAACAUGUGAUAAAUUCUCUAUGAAAACUUGAAAUCAUCAAAUUAGUAGUUUGUUCAUGUACGACUAAUAUACUACAUAAGUCGAAUUAACUUUUCAAACUUCACUAUCAAUCAAACGAAAGGCCCUUAAUUUCAGAAGUUCAAAAGAAAAAGUUCUACAUAAGAAUUCAAAAAUCCACUUAACUAUUCGAAUUGUAUAACUUGAUAAUAAUUUUCUUUAACAAACCAACUUCAACCAUUGACCUCGUAGUUUUUUCACUAAAAUUAGUAUAAUACAAAGUCAGAUAAACAUCUUUUACAAAGAAAUAUUACCUUCUUUUAUGAAGUCAAAUUCUUAGCCCUAACAAAGGGCCCCACUUAAUUAAUUGCAUGCCACAAAAUUAGACGUAAAGAGGGAUAUGUUUUCAAACAAUACUUAAAUCAGUUUUUUACAAAAUAAGCAUGUAAAUUAUGACAACACAUUUAAUUAAAACAAAUAGCUAAAGCAUUGACAUGAGAUUAUGGGAAUCAGUAGAUGAAUUGAAGAAAAGAACGGACCUCUUAGGAUAAACUUUCUUCAACAUUGAUAAAAUAAAUUUCCAAGGUUGAAUUACAGGAGAAAAAUGCCGACUACUACUCGACGGGGAACAGGAGGUCAACCAGAGUUCAAAAACUCGCCGGAUCCAGAUCGCGGAUGAAUGAGGACCUCACUAGAACUUUAGACAGAGCUACGAUAGAACCAUGACGAGAUCAUGGAAAACUCGCCGUAAAGCUCGCCGGAGUUCAAACGGAGACAUCACUUAAACUCAAACUAUUUUUGAUGAUUUAACGUCUGUUUGUGAAAUGGUUGUUUGUUCUGGGCUAGGAUGAAGCCAUGGCAGAUUUUCUCGUUUUUUAUUGAAGGAGACGAUGAAGGGGGGGUCUUCUUUUGGAGUUAUACGGCAUUAUUGUUUCUUCGGAGUCUAGGUUUUCUUUUUCAGCUUUUUCCUUAGCUCCCUAGGUCUCUUAGGUGUUCAGGUCAGCCUUGUUUUGUCUUUGUAUCUUCUUUUUUUUUGCUUUUUUCUUUGAUCUCUU
rnacentral:lncRNA from 1 species